UACAGAGGGUGCAAGCGUUAAUCGGAAUUACUGGGCGUAAAGCGCACGUAGGUGGCUGGGUAAGUUGGAUGUGAAAUCCCCGGGCUUAACUUGGGAAUUGCAUUCAAGACUGCCUUGCUAGAGUGUGGAAGAGGGAAGCGGAAUUCCAGGUGUAGCGGUGAAAUGCGCAGAUAUCAGGAAGAACACCCGUGGCGAAGGCGGCUCUCUGGAACGCAACUGACGCUGAGACGCGAAAGCGUGGGGAGCAAACAGG
rnacentral:rRNA from 1 species